AUUGAACGCUGGCGGCAGGCCUAACACAUGCAAGUCGAACGGUAACAGGAAGCAGCUUGCUGCUUUGCUGACGAGUGGCGGACGGGUGAGUCAUGUCUGGGAAACUGCCUGAUGGAGGGGGAUAACUACUGGAAACGGUAGCUAAUACCGCAUAACGUCGCAAGACCAAAGAGGGGGACCUUCGGGCCUCUUGCCAUCGGAUGUGCCCAGAUGGGAUUAGCUAGUAGGUGGGGUAAAGGCUCACCUAGGCGACGAUCCCUAGCUGGUCUGAGAGGAUGACCAGCCACACUGGAACUGAGACACGGUCCAGACUCCUACGGGAGGCAGCAGUGGGGAAUAUUGCACAAUGGGCGCAAGCCUGAUGCAGCCAUGCCGCGUGUAUGAAGAAGGCCUUCGGGUUGUAAAGUACUUUCAGCGGGGAGGAAGGGAGUAAAGUUAAUACCUUUGCUCAUUGACGUUACCCGCAGAAGAAGCACCGGCUAACUCCGUG
rnacentral:rRNA from 1 species